GUGACCUUCCUGCUCACAACAUAAAACUCAGCUUUCUGUGGCCUCUAUACUUCGGCUCAGUCCCUAUAUCCCAUCCAAGACAAAGGCACCACUUCAAUGACAGGUGUGAACUGGAACAUCAAGAAUGAAAAUGAAACAGGCCCAUAUCCAGCUUAAGGACUGACUCACCCAUCAAUCCUGGAGAAAAGUGCAUAUCUUCCAGCAUGUUCUUGCUGCUCAUCCAAGGCUCCUGAUCUGGCCUUCUGCAGUGUUACGCUCCGUGUAUUUGACAAGCUGAGUUGGACACUCUGUGUGGUAGAGUGUCAGUUUGUCAAAUACCCCAAGUGUGGCUCAUGCUUAUCAGCUCCAGGUCCAGGACUGAGCAGAUAGCCUGCUGUCUUCAUAUGAGUGCUUAUGAAACAUGAAGCUCUCUGGAGUUAUUCUAUGGCUUUUUGAGGGAACUAUAGCAAUCCUUCAGAGGACAUGAAAAUAGGAACAAUGAAACUCUGGGGCCUCUAAGCCUAGUAUGCAUCAUGUACAUUGUGAAAAAUGCCGUGGACUGCACAAUGGUCUUGAGAAUACAUAAGGGAUACUGGGAAUAAGAGUAUUAUUUGAUUUGUUAAUAAUGUCUUUUUUCACAUUCCUCUUCUUGCAGCCGGGACAGCAGAAUUUUCAUACAAGCAUCAUGAAUUCUAUGAGAACAUAGGAAAUAAAUAUCCACUGUCUGACCUUCGGAGCACAUCUUACUCUUACCUACAUUUUCUUUUUUCCUCUUUGCUUUUAUCCUCCUUAAUUCUUGUCCCUGGACUUUCAGACCCCAUGAAAUUCCAGUUUCUCUUGGCAAUAUCGAAAGUUAACCUGUACUUUUCUUUACUCCUUGAAUAAACACAUACUGGCAUGUGAUCUUAUAUGCCCUGCCACCCAAUAUAUCCUCUAAAGUUGUCAGUGAAUUUUUCCAGGGUAUGUUCUUGAAUACCCUAUUAUAUUGUAAGAGUCUAGAGCUUAUUAUACUGGCUUGAUUGCUGUUUCUCUUAUUGUUCAACAUUUUAAUUGUUUAAUAAAUGUUUACCAAUUAAUUGAUAUUUUACUAGUCCAUUACCUUUAGGUAUGUAGGUCAAAUACCAACCAGGGUUUUGUGAAAAAAAAUCUAACUGUGGCUAGUCCUAUGCUAUAGUGUAUACAAGGUGGUAACCAAAAGGGAUUUAUAUUUUCACUGUGAAAUAAGAUUUAGGUCUGGGGCAAGAGAGCAAAAAGAAAAAAAAAUAGAUUCAGAGGGAAAUAAAUUUUGUAGUUAUUAUUUUUUUUAACACAGGUCUUUUAAAACAGAAUUUUCUAAACUUUUAAUAUUCUAAUGCUGCACUGGGGUACACUUCUAAUGUAGAGCUAUAGAAUGACC
rnacentral:lncRNA from 1 species